GACGAACGCUGGCGGCGUGCUUAACACAUGCAAGUCGAACGGAAAGGCCCUGCUUUUGUGGGGUGCUCGAGUGGCGAACGGGUGAGUAACACGUGAGUAACCUGCCCUUGACUUUGGGAUAACUUCAGGAAACUGGGGCUAAUACCGGAUAUGAUCUCCUGCUGCAUGUUGUGGGUUGGAAAGUUUCGGCGGUUGGGGAUGGACUCGCGGCUUAUCAGCUUGUUGGUGUGGUAGUGGCUUACCAAGGCUUUGACGGGUAGCCGGCCUGAGAGGGUGACCGGCCACAUUGGGACUGAGAUACGGCCCAGACUCCUACGGGAGGCAGAAGGGGGAAAUAUUGCACAAUGGGCGGAAGCCUGAGGCAGCAACGCCGCGUGCGGGAUGACGGCCUUCGGGUUGUAAACCGAUUUCGCCGGUGACGAAGCGUGAGUGACGGUAAUGGGUAAAGAAGCAACGGCUAACUACGUG
rnacentral:rRNA from 1 species